rnacentral:rRNA from 1 species
AACCCCUAUCAUCUGUUGCCAGCAUUUAAGGUGGGGACUCAGAUGAGACUGCCGGUGACAAACCGGAGGAAGGUGGGGACGACGUCAAGUCAUCAUGGCCCUUAUGUCCUGGGCUACACACGUGCUACAAUGGCCGGUACAGAGUGAAGCGAAACCGCGAGGUGAAGCAAAACGCAGAAAGCCGGUCUCAGUACGGAUUGGAGUCUGAAACUCGACUUCAUGAAGUUGGAAUCGCUAGUAAUCGCGCAUCAGCAUGGCGCGGUGAAUACGUUCCCGGCCUU